GACGAACGCUGGCGGCGUGCUUAACACAUGCAAGUCGAACGGUGAAGCGCCUUCCUUUUUGGUGGGUGUGGAUGAGUGGCGAACGGGUGAGUAACACGUGAGUAACCUGCCCCCUUCUUCUGGAUAACCGCAUGAAAGUGUGGCUAAUACGGGAUAUUCUGGGUCUGUCGCAUGAUGGGUCUGGGAAGGAUAUUGUUUCGGUGGGGGAUGGGCUCGCGGCCUAUCAGCUUGUUGGUGGGGUGAUGGCCUACCAAGGCGGUGACGUGUAGCCGGCCUGAGAGGGUGGACGGUCUCACUGGGACUGAGGCACGGCCCAGACUCCUACGGGAGGCAGCAGUGGGGAAUAUUGCACAGUGGGCGCAAGCCUGAUGCAGCGACGCCGCGUGAGGGAUGGAGGCCUUCGGGUUGUGAACCUCUUUCGCCAGUGAAGCAGGCCUGCCUCGUUUGUGGGUGGGUUGACGGUAGCUGGAUAAGAAGCGCCGGCUAACUACGUG
rnacentral:rRNA from 1 species